GGAGGUCCCAAGCGUUGUUCGGAAUCACUGGGCGUAAAGGGUGCGUAGGCGGCGUGGCAAGUCAGAUGUGAAAUGCCGGGGCUCAACCCCGGAACGGCAUCCGAUACUGCCAUGCUAGAGAAGUGGAGGGGAGUCUGGAAUUCACGGUGUAGCAGUGAAAUGCGUAGAGAUCGUGAGGAACACUAGUGGCGAAGGCGAGACUCUGGACACUUACUGACGCUGAGGCACGAAGGGCCAGGGUAGCGAAAGGGAUUAGAUACCCCUGUAGUCCUGGCAGUAAACGGUGCACGUUUGGUGUGGGGAGAUUCGACCCUCCCUGUGCCGGAGUUAACGCGUUAAACGUGCCGCCUGGGAGUACGGCCGCAAGGCUA
rnacentral:rRNA from 1 species